rnacentral:rRNA from 1 species
GUCUACGGCCAUGCCACCCUGUAUAAGCCGGAUGUCUGAUCUCCGAAACUAAGCAGAGUUGGGCCUGGUUAGUCCUUGGAUGGGAGACCACCUAGGAGGACCAGGUGCUGUAGGUG